GACGAACGCUGGCGGCGUGCUUAACACAUGCAAGUCGAGCGAGGCCCUUCCUUCGGGAAGGUGCCCUAGCGGCGAACGGGUGAGUAACACGUGGGCAACCUGCCUCUAGCACUGGGGAUAACUCCGGGAAACCGGGGCUAAUACCGGAUAUGACCUCCGAGGGCAUCCUUGGUGGUGUAAAGGAUUCUGGCUAGAGAUGGGCCCGCGGCCUAUCAGCUUGUUGGUGGGGUAACGGCCUACCAAGGCAACGACGGGUAGCCGGCCUGAGAGGGCGACCGGCCACACUGGGACUGAGACACGGCCCAGACUCUACGGGAGGCAGCAGUGGGGAAUAUUGCACAAUGGGCGAAAGCCUGAUGCAGCGACGCCGCGUGAGGGAUGAAGGCCUU
rnacentral:rRNA from 1 species